rnacentral:rRNA from 1 species
UCAUACGUAGGACCCAAGCGUUAUUCGGAUUGAUUGGGCGUAAAGAGUUGCGUAGGCGGUUUGUUAAGCGAAUAGUGAAAUCUUGUGGCUCAACCAUAAGGCUAUUAUUCGAACUGGCAAACUCGAGAAUGGAAGAGAUAUCUGGAAUUCCCAGUGUAGGAGUGAAAUCCGUAGAUAUUGGGAGGAACACCAAUGGCGUAGGCAGGAUAUUGGUCCAUUUCUGACGCUAAGGCACGAAAGCGUGGGGAGCGAACGGGAUUAGAUACCCCGGUAGUCCACGCCGUAAACUAUGAAUACUAGCUGUAUGCCGUAUCGACCCGGUAUGUAGCGAAGCUAACGCGUUAAGUAUUCCGCCUGGGGAGUACGGUCGCAAGACUA